GGAAGUGUUUACAUAGUGUCUUUCUGGGGCUUGUUAGCCAGGCCGUUGUGGAGAGAGCUGUGGGUCUGAACUCAAGUGCUUUUGGCAGUUGCCCACCCUAUUUGACUAGAUGUGGCUUAAUUAGGAUCAGACAAAACUUUGUAAACAAGUUAAGGUAGCUUUUGUGUUCCUUAUCAGGAGCUGAAGCAGGAAAUGAAAGAUCAAGAGGGAACCCAAGCAGAUACGCUAUUGUCUGGGACGCUGGUCUGGAAGUCUGAUCCUGCCCAUGGAGACACAAACGGCCCUCACUGUGGCUCCAGGGCCCCCACCCACACCAGGCAUUACACCAACACCAAAGGGUCAGGGUGAGCUGUAAAGUCAUUUAACGGGGUGCUGCAUGCGAGGGUGGUGUAAACCUGUGAACCCUGUGGCCCAGCUCAGCGCUCCUGUUCCCAGACCAUUUGUUCACAAAUGCAAUCCCGCUUUUUCCGGUGGCAUGAGAGCUUCACCUUGAGACUGAGAAUAAGACGGUGAGCCCUGUUUGUGUAAGCUGACCUGUAUGUUAAACAAUCUCUUACUGAUAUAAAUGUACUUCUCUACAGACACUUUCCCUGUUAAAAUUGUAUUUAUUUCAAAGCUACUCACUUUCAGUGUUUAUUGUCAUAAAUGUGACAAACUGUAAAUGUUGUUACAGAUCAGCACACACACACACACGACCAGCGAUGGCCGAUCUAAUGUUUGCCUGAAUGUGGCCUGUUUCGGCUCGGAGCACCUCUCUUCGGUUUAGGUUUCCUUUAGGGACUCGGCGAGACCCACAGCGUCAGACCCCAUUCAGUCUAUUGUUAAUCGAGAGCGUCUACAAUCAAAGUGUGGAGUGUUUGGGUCAGAAGCCUCGGCGAUUGAGGGCUACCCCAGGGGCAAGAGCGUGGCCCCCAGAGACACCGCACAGCUCUGAGGUUUCACCUGGGGACUCGAGCGCUUCGAGAGCUAAUGACCCACUCCAGAAAUAUUUGCUUGAUUGAGUGUGUGGUUGACUUUUCUCAUAUUGAUCCACAGGUGAGGUCUUCUGUUUCACUUAUAAACUACCAGCUCAUUUAUCAACCUUGUUCUGCAAUUAAAGUGAAAUUGUAGUAGUAGAUCAUUCAUUUGUUUGUUUGUUCCUCCAUCCGUCAAAAAUGGUAGCAUUGCAUGUCUGUUACCAUUAAGAUCAUUUGUAUGCUAGUGUACUUAACUUUAACAGGUAUAAAUAAAAAAGUAAAUAAAUGCACUGCCAUUCAAAAGUUUGGGAUCAGUAACAUUUUUAAAGAAGUUCUUAUGCUCAUCAUGGCUGUGUUUUUAUGAUAAAAAAUACAGAAAAAAUUGAAAUAUUACAAUUUGAAUUAAAGGUAGGUUAUUCUAUUUAAAUAUACUUUCAAAUAUAAUUUAUUUCUGUGAUGUAAAGAUGAUUUUUCAGCAUCAUUACUCCAGUCUUCAGUGUCACAUGAUC